GAGCAAUAAGGAUACGACCAUUAACAAGAUGUUGAUGGGCAUGGAUCGCAAGGACCCUAUGGAUGAGGCAGGGAUACCAUCAGGAUGAUGGAAGGACACCGCUCAGGGAACAAGUGAUGAAAGCUGACCGGGAUAGGUGAGCGAAAAGGAUUGUUAGGACACCGUCAAGGUGGCGAUGCAGAGGAUUGGGUUGCAGGAUUCAACCGCUAUUAAGGAUGAUGCAGGGAGCAACCAUUGGUAGCCGGAUAGCUACAAGUAAAACUUAAGCCCCGAUACACUAGUGUCGGGGCUUUUCUUGAUA
rnacentral:other from 1 species